UAGGGAAUCUUCCGCAAUGGGCGAAAGCCUGACGGAGCAACGCCGCGUGAGUGAUGAAGGUCUUCGGAUCGUAAAACUCUGUUAUUAGGGAAGAACAUAUGUGUAAGUAACUGUGCACAUCUUGACGGUACCUAAUCAGAAAGCCACGGCUAACUACGUGCCAGCAGCCGCGGUAAUACGUAGGUGGCAAGCGUUAUCCGGAAUUAUUGGGCGUAAAGCGCGCGUAGGCGGUUUUUUAAGUCUGAUGUGAAAGCCCACGGCUCAACCGUGGAGGGUCAUUGGAAACUGGAAAACUUGAGUGCAGAAGAGGAAAGUGGAAUUCCAUGUGUAGCGGUGAAAUGCGCAGAGAUAUGGAGGAACACCAGUGGCGAAGGCGACUUUCUGGUCUGUAACUGACGCUGAUGUGCGAAAGCGUGGGGAUCAAACAGGAUUAGAUACCCUGGUAGUCCACGCCGUAAACGAUGAGUGCUAAGUGUUGGUCUCAUAAGAGAUCAGUGCUGCAGCUAACGCAUUAAGCACUCCGCCUGGGGAGUACGACCGCAAGGUUG
rnacentral:rRNA from 1 species